CGUGGCGCGGCGCGGCGGAGGAUCCGAGGCGUCCGGAAGCAGAAACUUGUCUGGCAGGACGAACGUGGCUCCGCGACAUUCCAGCCCUGUGUCAUCACCUUGAAAAUAGGAGAUGCGUCUGCCUUUCUGAGCGUCCAGGGCUGGGUUGGCCAGAAGUUUUCAUCACACACCGGAGCUUUGUCUCCAAGUGAGUACAUGUGCCCUCCAACAGAAGUAAACACACACGGAAGGACAAGUCUGCAAAGCUUCUAAACAGCUAGGCAUGCGGCCGUGUCUGAAGAGUCCGAGAUGUAGCUGAAACUACCUAGGUUGGUGGCUGACGUCUGAAGUUGGGGCAGUUUGUGCAUCUGGACCCUCAGUCUGUGACAUCUGGGAUCUCCAGGUCAGAUUUUAAGAGUCUAUGAAAUGACGGAUUUAACUCCGACUCGAAAUGAUUAAGAAGCGUGGAAGAAGAAAGAGGAGGAUUAAAUAACAUAUUUCUAUCUCAGGAGUGAAUAAAAGCGGGAAAACAAACACAGUUCAAACUCCAGCCUGAGAGACGAAGGUUUUCUGAUGGAGCAAGCCCUCCAAGCUUCCCGUGCUUGGACCGGUAAGCGCACCAGCACUCAGCCCAACUCCAUCCAUCCGUCAGGGGCUCACGAUGCACUUCUGAGCCAUUUACUGCAUCCAUUUGGUUUUUGAGCAAUACUUUGGAUUUGAAUUCAUCUAAAUUGCUGUCGUGACCCCUCCUCUCCAGGGUGUUACUUUAAUAUCCUGAUUCUUCAAAAUUGUCCAGAAUUUUUCUCCUUGGGUACACGGUUUAAUCCUGCCAGGAACUUAAAGACCAGAGUUGGAAAAGACUGAAAGUAAAGGAAACCCGUCCAACUCCUAAACGCUAGACACCCCAAAACCACAGCCCAGAAGCCGGGAUAUCUGCAUCUCCCUAAACAACCCUGGAUUUGAGAUCAAGGAUCCAGGGAUCAGGGAUGGAAGGGUGCCAGUUACUCAGAUACUUCUGUAUCUAAAGUCUCUGCGUAAAUUUUGGUGAUUUCUGUCCCUAUGUAAACCAAAACCAAAUCAUCAAAGAGGGGAACAGUUUUAAAAAAACACCAAAAAACAAAAAAAAACCUCGCUGCUGUCCUAUAAUAUGAGCUAUACGUAUUUUCAUGAAGCUCAUACUGUUCCCAGAGAAUUGAGUGAACUUAUAAAUGAUAACCAUCGCUGGGGGACCCAGGAAUGAAAAGAAAAGCGAAGGAAAAAGAACAGCGAAGGAAAGCGGGAGGCGGAAAGAUGGAAGAGGACGAUCUUCGGCCUACAAGGGGAUUAAGGACAUCUAUAGGCUUAAGGAGCAACAAAUUAAUUUAUACAAUUCUAGGAGAGCCCAGAUGGCCUUUAAUUAAUCCCUUCAAAAGCAGGAGCCAGGCCAGGGCUAGGCGGCUGCCUGCUCCAUUAGCUCCAUUUUACAAGGGACCAGGCUCGGUUCGAGGUGAGGCUUCCAGAGCUGGUGGGGGAAGGGGGUAGGAUGACGCGAGCGGGCG